GACGAACGCUGGCGGCGUGCUUAACACAUGCAAGUCGAACGGUAAGGCCCUUCGGGGUACACGAGUGGCGAACGGGUGAGUAACACGUGGGUGAUCUGCCCUGCACUUCGGGAUAAGCCUGGGAAACUGGGUCUAAUACCGGAUAGGACCCUGGGAUGCAUGUCCUGGGGUGGAAAGCUUUUGCGGUGUGGGAUGGGCCCGCGGCCUAGCAGCUUGUUGGUGGGGUGAUGGCCUACCAAGGCGACGACGGGUAGCCGGCCUGAGAGGGUGACCGGCCACACUGGGACUGAGAUACGGCCCAGACUCCGACGGGAGGCAGCAGUGGGGAAUAUUGCACAAUGGGCGCAAGCCUGAUGCAGCGACGCCGCGUGAGGGAUGACGGCCUUCGGGUUGUAAACCUCUUUCAGCACCGACGAAGCGCAAGUGACGGUAGGUGCAGAAGAAGGACCGGCCAACUACGUGCCAGCCGCCGCAGUAA
rnacentral:rRNA from 1 species